GCGCCGUUAGCUCAAUUGGCAGAGCAGCGGACUCUUAAUCCGCGGGUUCGGGGUUCAAGUCCCUGACGGCGCACCC
rnacentral:tRNA from 22 species